UUGCCUUAAAAUUGGCAUGACUCCUCAAGGUGUUGGAGAGAAGACUUGUCAAGUUAACUGCUGGUAAAGUGAUGACAUACUGGUAACAGUGAAAAUAGCAAUGGUAAAGAGGAGAUGAGAUCAGCUACCAACUAUGACUAAGUCUUGUAGCUGUCAAGAGAUAAAAAUAAAGUAAUGUGUACAUACCUGAAGUAAAAAUAAGGUACCAGUGCAUGUGACAAAGCAGCAAUACACCUGGGACAUGAAAGCUGUUAGCAAAUAGUUGAUGUCAGGGCUGGAGGCAAGAGACAGAGAAACCAAGAAAGUCAAGAGAUAUGUGAAACUAAAGGGUUUGUUGUAAAAAUGGUAAAGAAUGGUGAAGAAAUAAGAAAUCCACAUAGACAAAGGUGAACCCUGGGCUGAGGAACAUGCAGAGACAGAGCAAAACUUUUCGAGCUUCGUAAUAGUGAGAUUCUACAACACACAACAAGCAGUAGACAUA